rnacentral:rRNA from 1 species
CCUACGGGCGGCUGCAGUGGGGAAUAUUGCACAAUGGGCGCAAGCCUGAUGCAGCCAUGCCGCGUGUGCGAAGAAGGCCUUCGGGUUGUAAAGCACUUUCAGCGGGGAGGAAGGCGGUGAGGUUAAUAACCUCAUCGAUUGACGUUACCCGCAGAAGAAGCACCGGCUAACUCCGUGCCAGCAGCCGCGGUAAUACGGAGGGUGCAAGCGUUAAUCGGAAUUACUGGGCGUAAAGCGCACGCAGGCGGUCUGUCAAGUCGGAUGUGAAAUCCCCGGGCUCAACCUGGGAACUGCAUUCGAAACUGGCAGGCUAGAGUCUUGUAGAGGGGGGUAGAAUUCCAGGUGUAGCGGUGAAAUGCGUAGAGAUCUGGAGGAAUACCGGUGGCGAAGGCGGCCCCCUGGACAAAGACUGACGCUCAGGUGCGAAAGCGUGGGGAGCAAACAGGAUUAGAUACCCGUGUAGUC